rnacentral:rRNA from 1 species
UACGUAGGGGGCAAGCGUUGUCCGGAAUUAUUGGGCGUAAAGAGCGCGUAGGCGGUCCGGUAAGUCGGUUGUGAAAGUCGGGGGCUCAACCCUCGGAUGCCGAUCGAUACUGUCGGGCUAGAGUCCGGAAGAGGCGAGUGGAAUUCCUGGUGUAGCGGUGAAAUGCGCAGAUAUCAGGAGGAACACCGGUGGCGAAGGCGGGUCUCUGGGCCGAUACUGACGCUGAGGAGCGAAAGCGUGGGGAGCGAACAGG